AGAGUUUGAUCCUGGCUCAGGACGAACGCUGGCGGCGUGCCUAAUACAUGCAAGUAGAACGCUGAAGAGAGGAGCUUGCUCUUCUUGGAUGAGUUGCGAACGGGUGAGUAACGCGUGGGUAACCUGCCUUGUAGCGGGGGAUAACUAUUGGAAACGAUAGCUAAUACCGCAUAACAUUGACUAUUGCAUGAUAGUCAAUUGAAAGGUGCAACUGCACCACUACCAGAUGGACCUGCGUUGUAUUAGCUAGUUGGUGGGGUAACGGCUCACCAAGGCGACGAUACAUAGCCGACCUGAGAGGGUGAUCGGCCACACUGGGACUGAGACACGGCCCAGACUCCUACGGGAGGCAGCAGUAGGGAAUCUUCGGCAAUGGGGGCAACCCUGACCGAGCAACGCCGCGUGAGUGAAGAAGGUUUUCGGAUCGUAAAGCUCUGUUGUAAGUCAAGAACGAGUGUGAGAGUGGAAAGUUCACACUGUGACGGUAGCUUACCAGAAAGGGACGGCUAACUACGUGCCAGCAGCCGCGGUAAUACGUAGGUCCCGAGCGUUGUCCGGAUUUAUUGGGCGUAAAGCGAGCGCAGGCGGUUUGAUAAGUCUGAAGUUAAAGGCUGUGGCUCAACCAUAGUUCGCUUUGGAAACUGUCAAACUUGAGUGCAGAAGGGGAGAGUGGAAUUCCAUGUGUAGCGGUGAAAUGCGUAGAUAUAUGGAGGAACACCGGUGGCGAAAGCGGCUCUCUGGUCUGUAACUGACGCUGAGGCUCGAAAGCGUGGGGAGCGAACAGGAUUAGAUACCCUGGUAGUCCACGCCGUAAACGAUGAGUGCUAGGUGUUGGAUCCUUUCCGGGAUUCAGUGCCGCAGCUAACGCAUUAAGCACUCCGCCU
rnacentral:rRNA from 1 species